rnacentral:rRNA from 1 species
UACGCAGGUGGCAAGCGUUGUCCGGAAUUAUUGGGCGUAAAGCGCGCGCAGGUGGCUUCUUAAGUCUGAUGUGAAAGCCCACGGCUCAACCGUGGAGGGUCAUUGGAAACUGGGGAACUUGAGUGCAGGAGAGAAGAGUGGAAUUCCACGUGUAGCGGUGAAAUGCGUAGAGAUGUGGAGGAACACCGAUGGCGAAGGCAGCCCCCUGGGCUGACACUGACGCUCAGGCACGAAAGCGUGGGGAGCAAACAGG